rnacentral:rRNA from 1 species
UACGGAGGGUGCAAGCGUUGCUCGGAAUUAUUGGGCGUAAAGGGUAGGUAGGUGGUCUCAUUUGUCUGGGGUGAAAGCCUUGAGCUUAACUCAAGAAGUGCCCCAGAAACGGUGAGACUGGAGUCCUGGAGAGGGUCGUGGAAUUCCCAGUGUAGCGGUGAAAUGCGCAGAUAUUGGGAAGAACACCAGUGGCGAAGGCGGUUCUCUGGGACGGUACUGACGCUGAGACGCGAAAGCUGGGGGAGCAAACAGG